rnacentral:misc_RNA from 1 species
GAUGAAGAACGCAGCGAAAUGCGAUAAGUAAUGUGAAUUGCAGAAUUCAGUGAAUCAUCGAAUCUUUGAACGCACAUUGCGCCCGCCAGUAUUCUGGCGGGCAUGCCUGUUCGAGCGUCAUUUCAACCAUCAAGCUCCCGGGCUUGCGUUGGGGCCCUGCGGCUGCCGCAGGCCCCUAAAACCAGUGGCGGGCUCGCUGUCACACCGAGCGCAGUAGCAUUUCUUCGCUCUGGGCGCGGCGGCGGGCGCUUGCCUUAAAACAUACCACUUUUUAAAGGUUGACCUCGGAUCAGGUAGGAAUACCCGCUGAACUUAAGCAUAUCAAUAAGCGGAGGA